CUUGAUGUUUAUGUUUAUUACGUAAAAAAACAGUUUUAACAUAACAUAUAUACAGACAAGAAAUUUUUUAUAUAUCAAAAUGUUUAUUAACAACAAAAAGUUAUUUUAAGUUCUUCAUUUAUACCUAUUUAAGAGAUGAACUUAAUAUAGACCGGACUGUAUUGCAAACAAUUAAUUAUGUAUAUGAUUCUACAUAAAAUCGGAUAAAACAAUUUUGACUCAAAUCCAAAAUGCGUUAAUUGCAGGCAACCCUAUUAUACAAAUAUUUACGGAAAAACGAACUGGUAGCACUUGUGCUCAGUCAUUCUGCUUCAUUCUCAAACGUCAUUUUUUGUUUACGUUCCUAUUCGUAAUUGAAGAAUUGCUAAAAAAAAGUUUGCCAAUUUUUGCUCGUUUAAACAAUUGUUAAAAAGCAAAGAAAAUAUCUAAUAUUUCAAUAGAAUAAACUAAUAUAUUUAUUAAAAGAUUCAUCCUACUUGCUGGAGUACAUCUGAUAUACAUUCUUAUAGUUUACUUUCUUGACUUCCUUAUUCACUAAAGGAAUCUAUACGCAAUAAUGACUGAGGCAAAGAAGAACGCACUAACAGCUGCCUACCGUGCACAUAAAUCUCUGCAAUUGGAAUUAACCGACUUUGAGGAUAAUACAGCAUUUGCAGCACACUUGGUUGAACAAUUACGGCGUCUUCCCACCGACAGCCGUGUUAACGCUAUGGCCGGUAUUUUAGCAAUAUUGAAUCGUUUUGUACGCGUACAAGGAGAAACUCAGUAAAGUUUUCGCAUGGAGUUCUGUUUUGCUAGUCCAUCGGCCGCAAUUUUCGUACCUAUAAGGAUAACGUAUUAGGGCGGUGGCGGUGAAACUAAAAAUGUUAGGGGAAAUGUGUUGCUAAAAGCAUUGAAUUAUUGGAGGUGUUCCUAAUGUGCGGUUAUAUAUUUUGUUUAUAGCCUGGUUUUCUUAUAAGGAAAGCAAUGGCAUAUGUGCUACCAUAUUAUUCUUUGAUAGAAUUCUAUUAAAGUAUGAAAUCGAUGUUCGAGUUAUAAUGGAGGAGUAUAAUCUAAUAGUUAGCAUGAUUUUCUGAUUCAUCACAAACAUUCAUACAUAUAUUUUUGUUACAUUAAAACACAUCGAAAAAACUGUAAUAAGUAUUUAAUUUAAUAUAUAGAAUAUAUCAAUCAUUUUGCAAAAUAGUAUGAUUUAAAUAAUCAAAAUAA